rnacentral:rRNA from 1 species
UACAGAGGCCACAAGCGUUAGGCGGAAUCACUGGGCUUAAAGCGUGUGUAGGCGGGUUGGUAAGUACUUUGUGAAAUCCCACGGCUUAACCGUGGAAUUGCUUGGUAUACUGCCGAUCUUGAGUCAUCUAGAGGUAACCGGAACAGAUGGUGGAGCGGUGAAAUGCAUAGAUAUCAUCUGGAACGCCAAUGGUGCAGACAGGUUACUGGGGAUGUACUGACGCUGAGGCACGAAAGCCAGGGGAGCAAACGGG